rnacentral:rRNA from 1 species
GUGGGGAAUCUUAGACAAUGGGGGAAACCCUGAUCUAGCCAUGCCGCGUGAGCGAUGAAGGCCUUAGGGUUGUAAAGCUCUUUCAGCUGGGAAGAUAAUGACGGUACCAGCAGAAGAAGCCCCGGCUAACUCCGUGCCAGCAGCCGCGGUAAUACGGAGGGGGCUAGCGUUGUUCGGAAUUACUGGGCGUAAAGCGCGCGUAGGCGGACCAGAAAGUUGGAGGUGAAAUCCCAGGGCUCAACCUUGGAACUGCCUUCAAAACUCCUGGUCUGGAGUUCGAGAGAGGGGAGUGGAAUUCCGAGUGUAGAGGUGAAAUUCGUAGAUAUUCGGAGGAACACCAGUGGCGAAGGCGGCUCACUGGCUCGAUACUGACGCUGAGGUGCGAAAGCGUGGGGAGCAAACAGGAUUAGAAACCCGGGUAGUCC